GACGAACGCUGGCGGCGUGCUUAACACAUGCAAGUCGAACGAAGAGCGAUGGAAGCUUGCUUCUAUCAAUCUUAGUGGCGAACGGGUGAGUAACGCGUAAUCAACCUGCCCUUCAGAGGGGGACAACAGUUGGAAACGACUGCUAAUACCGCAUACGAUCUAAUCUCGGCAUCGAGGAAAGAUGAAAGGUGGCCUCUAUUUAUAAGCUAUCACUGAAGGAGGGGAUUGCGUCUGAUUAGCUAGUUGGAGGGGUAACGGCCCACCAAGGCGAUGAUCAGUAGCUGGUCUGAGAGGAUGAACGGCCACAUUGGGACUGAGACACGGCCCAGACUCCUACGGGAGGCAGCAGUGGGGAAUCUUCCGCAAUGGACGAAAGUCUGACGGAGCAACGCCGCGUGAGUGAUGACGGCCUUCGGGUUGUAAAGCUCUGUUAAUCGGGACGAAAGGCCUUCUUGCGAACAGUUAGAAGGA
rnacentral:rRNA from 1 species